rnacentral:rRNA from 1 species
AACGAACGCUGGCGGCAGGCUUAACACAUGCAAGUCGAGCGAGACCUUCGGGUCUAGCGGCGGACGGGUGAGUAACGCGUGGGAACGUGCCCUUCUCUACGGAAUAGCCCCGGGAAACUGGGAGUAAUACCGUAUACGCCCUUUGGGGGAAAGAUUUAUCGGAGAAGGAUCGGCCCGCGUUGGAUUCGGUAGUUGGUGGGGUAAUGGCCCACCAAGCCGACGAUCCAUAGCUGGUUUGAGAGGAUGAUCAGCCACACUGGGACUGAGACACGGCCCAGACUCCUACGGGAGGCAGCAGUGGGGAAUCUUAGACAAUGGGGGCAACCCUGAUCUAGCCAUGCCGCGUGAGUGAUGAAGGCCUUAGGGUUGUAAAGCUCUUUCAGCUGGGAAGAUAAUGACGGUACCAGCAGAAGAAGCCCCGGCUAACUCCGUG